rnacentral:misc_RNA from 1 species
GCCUCGUCCUUGCUUUCUUGCACUAACUUCUCUACUUGUGCCUUGGGCAACCUCAUCUUCACCCUCAUUGCACCGCUUUCCUCGGGGACAAUGCUGCUGCUGGAGGAACUAGGGUUUAUUAUCGAAAGAUCAGAUGUUGAUCUUCUUGCUAGCAUUAGGUUCUCGAGCCUGUCUUUAGCACUCAUGGUAAUCUCCGACCGAACCCUUCUCGUUGUUUUCUCUGUUGAAGCUUUUGGGAGCUCUACUAGGAAAUAGAGCCUCUUGGGCACCAACCCCUGGUGUGGUUCCAGAGGCUUUGCCCUA